rnacentral:lncRNA from 1 species
UGAAUUAAUAGUAAUUAAUUGCUCAUUUAUCCGAUUAAUUACCCAAUUCGUCAAUAUAACCUCCAGACAUCAAUUAUUAUCGGAAUAGAUGUCGAUUUUCACUAACACUAAUAAUCCCAACACAAUGGAAAUAUCAAUUUUAUCUUUAAUCAAUACGAACUUAUUCAUCAUUAAUAAUAUAACUCACAAUAUUUAACAACCAGAUCAUUCCCAGGAAAGAGGGGGAUUUUCGAUAAGGAUUUCUCCCUAUUGGCGCGCAAUUAGGUGACCAAACCCCUUUCUUUUACAGAACUUUCUAGACAUUGUCAAAUAAUAAUAUAAAUAACUUUGUCGUCUCAAUUAUUGAUUUAAUAAUAUAAAUAUUGAUACU